rnacentral:miRNA from 1 species
UAUUAAGUUGGUACAAAAGUAAUUGUGGCUUUUGCCAUCACUUUACAAAAACCACAAUUACUUUUGCACCGAUCUUAGAUAU